rnacentral:misc_RNA from 1 species
GUGAAUCAUCAAAUCUUUGAACGCAAAUUGCACUCUCUUCGAGGAGGAUGCCCGUUUGAGGUUCAGCCUAAAAAAAAUCGACAUAGUCGCUGUUUUCGCGGUGACAUUCGCCGGCAAUUGGGUCAUCUUAAACCUCUGGGUGUUAAGCGGCUUAAAAUUGUCUUUACGGAAUCUACGUACGUUUCUAAG